rnacentral:rRNA from 1 species
GGCGAACGCUGGCGGCGUGCUUAACACAUGCAAGUCGAACGGAAAGGCCCUGCUUUUGUGGGGUGCUCGAGUGGCGAACGGGUGAGUAACACGUGAGUAACCUGCCCUUGACUUUGGGAUAACUUCAGGAAACUGGGGCUAAUACCGGAUAGGAGCUCCUGCUGCAUGGUGGGGGUUGGAAAGUUUCGGCGGUUGGGGAUGGACUCGCGGCUUAUCAGCUUGUUGGUGGGGUAGUGGCUUACCAAGGCUUUGACGGGUAGCCGGCCUGAGAGGGUGACCGGCCACAUUGGGACUGAGAUACGGCCCAGACUCCUACGGGAGGCAGCAGUGGGGAAUAUUGCACAAUGGGUGGAAGCCUGAUGCAGCAACGCCGCGUGCGGGAUGACGGCCUUCGGGUUGUAAACCGCUUUCGCCUGUGACGAAGCGUGAGUGACGGUAAUGGGUAAAGAAGCACCGGCUAACUACGUG